AGUGUGUUCCUUUGGCACUGGUUUCAGGGUCAGGGUACAUUUCUUUAGUUCUGGUUACAGGGCCAAAGCAUGUUUCUUUGGCUCUGCUAAGGGUGAGUUUCUUUGACUGGUCCCUUUUCCCUACACUUCUUGCUCAGCCUUCAGGACACAGUUUAGGAGGUGACCUCUUUGGUUGUCUCCCCAAAGUUCACUCAGCAUGUCGGCACAGGCUGCUUCAGUGUACUCUCUGUUGAUGUUCCUGUUGCCCAGCUCUGCUCUCUGCUGCCCAGCUCUCUUCUCUGUUGCCAAGGCUGCAUACAAGGCCGAUGCCCCACACAGGAGGAGAAGUCUCUGUACAGGUUAAGAUGACAUUUCCUCUCACUUGGAUUUUUAAGGUGAUGGUAUGCAACUCAACUGAUUUCUCAUAAACGUCUAAGAAACUUCAAUGUGGAUGCCAGGGCCACAACACUCAUGAUAGGUUUUUCAAUCUGCAUUCCUUGAAGCCACCUCAGGCGACUCCGUGACUAAUGCUUCAUAAUGUAUCAUUGAUUUGUGUUUUAUUUUUAUAUUGCUUGCAUCGAAUGUUUUAAUCACUUUUCUCCUGUGCUAAACAUACAUGCCAUACAUCUUGCCUAUUACAAUGAAGUGCACACAAAAUGCAUCAAUAGCAUUGAUUGUUAGUUGACAAAAAAGUCUUUCCCUUCCUCAUAACUAGAUUUUUUUUUCUCCUGAAAGAAUAAAGUGAGUCUUUGCAGAGGAAAAAAAGUAAGUAUACAGCAAUGCAUUAUGUUUUGGGCACUUGGAUUAUUCUGUAAGUCAGUCAUGUUUAUUUAAAACUUGGCUAUUCUGGUAGGAUGAAUAAUGCUUUUGCUGACUGACUGCUAUUAACAGCUUUGUCCUGUGAUGGUUUAUGGCUCUGUGGGUUUUGUGUCCUCAAGGGACUGCCCCCUGUUCUGCAAUCCACAACUAGACACCAGGAAAGUCCAAGCAGUGGGGUGGAGAUGUUACUGAUAUGGAAUGUACUAGGAAGAGAAGGUAAUUAAAGUAAAAUAAAGCUUUUACAUCCCAGUUCUGGGGAAAGCUUGAAUUUGUGAUUGGAUAGAUAAGCUUGCUAAUUUUGAAUGUCCUCAGCACAUCUUAGUUCCAAUUCUUAGAAUUAAUUAUAUUUUAUUUCUCAUUAUUAUCCAAGUAGGAUCAUUGUUUACAAACACAAUAAAGAUAAGGUGAAAACAUAUUUUAAGCAAGAACCAAUUAUAUUUGAGAGUUGCUGUAUUAUUACAAAAAAUCUGGGUUAAGUCACAUAAAUUUAGCUUUGAAGAGAAAUUGGAAGGUUAUUGUAGAUGAACCCUUCUCAAGCAAUUUUGAGACAGAAAUGUAGACUUCUACUCUAGGGUAUUUGUUGUAUUGAUAAUGGACAUUUUUCUUCUGUGUCCUUUAGAAUAUCAUCUCUCUGCUUGGAAGAAACCAGAGUCAGAAACUAUGUUCUCCAGGAUCCAGUCCUGCUGUGACUGACACAGGUUCUGGCUCAGUAGAUCUGGAUCGAAGACUACACAAAGUUACAUCUCUAAUGACUCCCCAAUCUCUAGUAAUAGCUGGUGCUUUGGUCUGACAACUAUAAUUUGAAACCAUGGAGUCACAGAGGAACAAGAUUAUGCGAUCCAUUUUUGGACAGGUAGAAAUAUUUUUUUCUAGGAUCUGUCAAAUGAAAAACUGGAUAAAAGAAUGGAAUUGAGUGGAGAGGGCCAAGGUGGAGAUGUGCAUGCGGGUACUUCCUCCAUAUAGGACUUGAAAUUGGGAUGUGAAAGGUAUCAUGGGAAGAGAGAAAACAGGAAGGGAAUGAGGGCUGGUGAGAUGAGUUAGUGUGCAGAGGUGCUUACUGUCAAGCUGGAUGAUCUGAGUUUCGUCUCCUGGACCCACAUGGUAGAAGAGAGAAAUGACUCCCCCAAAUGGUUCUCUGACCUCCACACACAGGUCAUGCCACAUACUGUUGUUAGCAGUUUCCUCCCCAGUUAAAACAUUCAAUCCUGCAAGGAUCCUCCUUAAGAUAGGAAGUAGACAACUCAAAAUAGCUUCAGGAAGUCCCUGGAACUGGUCAGAUUCACUAGGCUCCUCCCUCCACAAGAGUAUAUAAAAACUACUGAUAGUCCCUCUCAGACAAGCCGAGCUGAAGAGAAGACUGAGGGAACCGCUGCCUGGAAGAAGCUCUGGCCAGCCAACUAGAAGAAACACAGACCAGCCGUGCUGCCUGGGAAAGGCUCAGACUGACUGAGCCACCCAAAAGGGACACUUUCUGACCCGUUGAGCUGCCUUCAGCUGUGCUGUGUGCUCUGGGUUUCCAGAUUUUGUGAGCUGACUCUCAUUCUGGGGUGGGCUUUAGUGAUGCAGUUGUCUUUGGGUCAUUUCUGCUCCUGUGAGUGACCCCUCACCCAUAUUCCUUUAAGUCACCCCAGUAAAGCUCAUUGGUUCACCAA